GUGAGAUGUCAAAAAUGAGUUGGUUUCACAACCCCAUGGCACACAUAAACAGCACAGCUCUAAAGGUCUCGCUCUCAUUCUCUGUCUUGGCUUAUACUUUUUUCAUCUGCCAAGAGAUGAAAUUUUCUCAGUUCUACGUUAGUUACAUUGAGCUUUUGUUCAUCUGUAGAACAAGGAAUUUGUGGUAAGACCCAAAUUCAGCCUGUAUAUUUUUUAUAGUUGUAUCCAGCACUGAGAACUCAUUUCCCAAAUCUUUAUCAAUACUCUAAAUGGCUCCUAGUCCCAAAAUGAGAGUAAACACUUCACCACUUGGAGGUCACGCAAGCAUGCAUGUGCUUCAAGUUCAAAACCUGGUAUUUCAGGGAUACUGAACACCUGCUGCUCUUCCUAGCUGGUAUGGGACCUGCAGGAACUCAUGCCCUUGUGAAGAUCUCUCAUCUCCAGAUGCUCUUAUUCACAGUGAGACAGUGAGAAGUCCUCUCCUCUGUUUUCAGCUUUUAUAAAAGUUUAGUGAAACACAACAAAGUGAUGCUGCACUGAUAUUGAACUGGUUCCAGCUGGCUGGUGCAGUGCUGUGUUUUGGAUUUAGUGUGAGAAUUAUGUUGAUAACACACUGAUGUUUUAGUUGUUGCUAAGUAGUGCUUAAUCUGAAUCAAGGACUUUUCACUGCCUCAUGCAUUGCCAGUGGGCAAGUGGACAAGAAUCUGGAGGGAGCAUGGCCAGGACAGUUGACCUGAAGUAGCCAAAGGGAUAUUCCAUACCACAGAACAUCAUGCCCAGUAUAUAAACUGCUGCAGCUUGGCUGGGAGCUGCUAUCAGUCCUUGGGGGUGGGCUAAGCAGUGUGUGGUGAACAAAUGUAUUGAGCAUCACUUGUUUCUGCUGGGUUUUAUUUACAUAUUCCCUAGAUCCCCAGUGUAUUUUCAUUACAAUUGUUAUUAUUUUAAUUUUUUUUUUCAUUGCUCAUCUCAACAUAAGAGCUUUACUUUUUUUUCAAAUUCACCUCCCCAUCAGUGCAGGUGGGGAAGUGAGCGAGUGGCUGUGUGAUACUUGAUUGCCAUCUGGGGUUAAACUGUGAGAGAUACAGACACUCUCAACAGAGCAUUACUGAGUACUUAUGAGUUCAGACAGGUCAGAAUUCCUUUGUUUGCUGGGAAGCUGGUGCAUUUGCUUUCCCCCAAAAUACUGAGACGCUGAACUCCUGAGUUUUCUAAAUUACCACUGAUGGAGAGGUAAGAUCUCAGCAGCAGUGGGGCGAAGGUAGGGGGCUUCUAGAUGUAACUCUCACACUUUAACAGCUUAGUUGAGAAGAGUUAGAGUGAUGCUCAGAAAAAAAAUUUAAUAUAAAAUAAUCAGUGAUCUUGUGUGUGUGUAUUUUGGUUAUUGAUGUGUCAAAAUUUACUGGUGAGUUGGCAUAGAAAAGUGCAAAGGGAAUGGCUGAGUACAAAAAUUUUAGGGUGUAUUAAAAUGUAGGUCACAGACCUGAGCUCCACAAGACUUAUUGUGAGUGGAAUUAACAAUAUAAUAGCUCACCUUUGCACAAGAGUGAAUUUUUUAUAGUGUGAUCAUACAUUACCAAAAAAAGCCCCAAAACAUUGUACUGUUGGUGGAAAGCAAAUAUUAUGUGACUCUGAAUCUCACUUGGUAUUUUAAACCAUGGGAGUUUAGAUCUGAGUCAUCAUAACUUGUAAGCAGGAGACAUAUAUAUAUAUAUAUAUAUAUAUGCAUAUAUAGCAUGAAGGCUAAAAACAAGGCUUCUGUCUUGGGGUCAUUUUCCCCUCAAAUUGUAGAUUUCAUUCUCUGUUACUGUAAAUCAUUAUAGCCUCAAUUGAAAGUCAGAAGUCAGCUGAGUUGUUUCCAAAAUUUGAAAACAAACCUGGACUCGAAAUCGUUACAGGCUACUCCUUUCUUCUCUGUUUCACCCCUUUGAUUUUCAGAGCCCUUGGGCUGUCAGAUCACUUUAAACUUUCUUACACCCCUGCUUCUCCACAAUGCUUCCUGCAUGGAGCUGGUGUUAGAAUUUGCCCAACCUCUAAUUUGUCCCAGCAGAGCACUCAAAUCUUGCAUUAGAAGCAGAAACACUGCUAGUACUGCUAAAAGAGCAUCUUUAACCCAAGAUCUUUAUUGGACAACUCCUGUAGUUAGAGCAAGAGCUGGAGAAGAUAGCAUAUGAGUGCCUGCUAGCAGCCCCAGGGACACAUAUGGAGAAAAGUUAUUUUUCUUCCUUUUUGCUUUUUAAUUCAUCACUUGACUUUAAGCAUGCAUCUAGCCAAGCUGUGCAGAGAGUGACUUGCUGAAGAGAAGACUGUAAGGUAGGAUUAGAGGUUCUGUUCAAGACAAAAUCUGCCUCAGUCUAGAGAACAAUCCCACCACAAAAUAAAAUUAAAAGUAAUGAGAUUUCCCACUGUUAAUUUAACAGCAGCAAACCACAUGUUCUAAACAAUGUUCUAAUUUUUUUUUUUUUUUUUUUUUGGUAUAAGGAGUCAUUUUUAGUAACAACUCCCAGACUAUUAGCCCUGCCAUUUUUCCACUGCUGGAGGAAAAUAUGGACUCUUGCUGAGCUGUAUGAUUGGUUAUUCAUACUUCCUGGCAGUGGUUAUAAGAGGAGGAUGACUGAGAAUUCAGUAGCUGGGAGAGACAGUAUAUAUAUGCUUCUAAUGUGCUCUUGGACUCCUUACCCAGCUGCAGAAAGUGCUCCAGUAUGCAAGUACAGGAGAUGUGUUUGUGUCUGGUCAUCUCUGGAAUGCGUAGCCGCCGAGCGAAAGGCUGGGAAACUCUUGCGGACGGCUGUGCCACUGAUGACCUGCCAGCACUGACAGCCUGGGCUCCGAUGGUGGAGAGGGAUCAUGGGUGUCUCUGCAGCCCUGAGGCUCUCCAGAAUGCUGGGAGAGUGAAAGCUGGAAGGAUGCCCCAUACCAGGAUCUCCUGGUGUUUGCUGCAGUCCCUUAGCGCCUUACAACUGGCACUCAGCAGUUCGUAGGAUUGGGCUUCCGCCGGCUGGAGAGAAAAAAAGCUCACUGGUGCAGCAUUUCUGUGUGUGCAAAAGGCCUGCUAGGAAACAGAAGAAAUUAAACUGAUCACACAUGUCCUUCAGCUUAGGAAAAGAGAGCUCUAAGUGAGAGCAUGUGUGCUCUUACUGGGGCUGAGAAAAUGUCAGUCUGAUGUUCUUGGGAAGUUCAUAUUGAUACAAACAGGGAGGCUCCCUGCUGCCCACAGAUUUCCCACAUAAAAGUCCUACUGGUAGCCGUGGGAACUUAGCAGCAGCCACGCUGUGGCUAAAGUCACCACUCUAAAAAUGUAGUGAAAUUAGUGUUCAUAAAAGUGAAAAACAUGCCACAAGAAUGAAGAUGUUCUGAUUCACAGCCAUGAAAAUUACAUGAGUUCUGGCAUUAAAAAAAAAAAAAAAAAAAAAAAAAAAAAAAAAAAAGCAGCUAAAUUUCGCAGUUACUCUGGCUUCAGAAGGGGAUUGCUGGUGAAUUUUUAAGAAGUUCCUCUGAGAAAAUAAUCUUGGCUAUCCUCAAAUCAAUUUGUUGCACCAAAACACACCCGCCUCUCCCAAGUGGUGCCCAUGAUGUGACUGGUCCUUCUCACCAGCCCUGUGGAAAGGGCCUAUCCUGUGCUGCACAGUGGCCCCUAGUGAAAGUGAGUAGUUUGUUCCAGAGUCUGUGAAAUAAUUUCCAGCAGCUGGUUUGUUACUAAUUUCAGUUCUGCCUUCCGAUCUGACCCUCAUCUCACUCAAACUAUGCCACUUGCUAUGUUAUUUUUAAGACAAAUAAAAAGACCUCACAGGAGGGCAUGAUGGACCAA